CCUACGGGAGGCAGCAGUGGGGAAUAUUGGACAAUGGGCGAAAGCCUGAUCCAGCCAUGCCGCGUGUGUGAAGAAGGCCUUCGGGUUGUAAAGCACUUUCAGUGGGGAAGAAAGCCUUGGGGCUAAUACCCUCGAGGAAGGACAUCACCCACAGAAGAAGCACCGGCUAACUCCGUGCCAGCAGCCGCGGUAAUACGGAGGGUGCGAGCGUUAAUCGGAAUUACUGGGCGUAAAGCGCGCGUAGGCGGUCUGAUAAGCCGGUUGUGAAAGCCCCGGGAUCAACCUGGGAACGGCAUCCGGAACUGUCAGGCUAGAGUGCAGGAGAGGAAGGUAGAAUUCCCGGUGUAGCGGUGAAAUGCGUAGAGAUCGGGAGGAAUACCAGUGGCGAAGGCGGCCUUCUGGACUGACACUGACGCUGAGGUGCGAAAGCGUGGGUAGCAAACAGGAUUAGAUACCCGUGUAGU
rnacentral:rRNA from 1 species